rnacentral:lncRNA from 1 species
CUUUGUUGAAGAGGCUAGAUAAGCUGGAGUUCUAAGUCACCUCUUUAAGAGUUACUCUUUACCUGAGUAACAUGUAUUUAUGAGACACAUAUAUUAAUAAACUUCCUUUUGUUUUUUUCUUGAUAUUUUGUCUUUGUUACAGUGGUCCUAGCUGAGAACUCAGAAAGGGCUAUGGUUUGAAUACGCUGCCUCCAAAAUUCAGCUGUUGCCAAUGUGAUUUACAGGUGGUGUCUUUAAGAGUUGAUUGGGUUUCUUCCUCCUGAGUGGGACUAAGUAUCUUAUAAAAGAGGCUUUAUGCAGCAUUCACCUCUCUUCCCCUUCCACUUUCUGCUAUGUGAAGACACAGUGUUCCUCUCCUUUUCCUUUUGUAAGCUACAGGAGCAAGGUACCAUAUUGGAUGGAAGCAGAGAACAUCCCUCACCAAAUAAUCAGCCUUGCUGGUGGCUUCAUUGUGAACUUCUCAGCCCAGAAUGUAUGAAGGUCAUCACCACAUGUGGGCUGAUUGAUCUUGGAUUUCCAAGCCUCCAGAACUGA